CCCUUAGAUGUUCUGGGCCGCACGCGCGCUACACUGACGGAUUCAACGAGCUUACGACCUUGGCCGAAAGGUCUGGGUAAUCUCCAAAAUCCGUCGUGAUGGGGAUAGAUUAUUGCAAUUAUUAAUCUUCAACGAGGAAUGCCUAGUAAGCGCAAGUCAUCAGCUUGCGUUGAUUACGUCCCUGCCCUUUGUACACACCGCCCGUCGCUCCUACCGAUUGAAUGGUCCGGUGAAGCGUUUGGACUAUGGUUUUCUGAUGGUCCGCCGUUGGAUUACCGUGGGAAGUUCGUUAAACCUUAUCAUUUAGAGGAAGGAGAAGUCGUAACA
rnacentral:rRNA from 1 species